AUUGAACGCUGGCGGAAUGCUUUACACAUGCAAGUCGAACGGCAGCACGGACUUCGGUCUGGUGGCGAGUGGCGAACGGGUGAGUAAUGUAUCGGAACGUGCCCAGUCGUGGGGUAUAACGUAGUGAAAAUUACGCUAAUACCGCAUACGAUCUAUGGAUGAAAGCGGGGGAUCGCAAGACCUCGCGCGAUUGGAGCGGCCGAUAACAGAUUAGGUAGUUGGUGGGGUAAAGGCCCACCAAGCCAACGAUCUGUAGCUGGUCUGAGAGGACGAUGAGCAACACCGGAACUGAGACACAGUCCAGACUCCUACGGGAGGCAGCAGUGGGGAAUUUUGGACAAUGGGGGAAAGCCUGAUCCAGCCAUUCCGCGUGCAGGAUGAAGGCCGUCGGGUUGUAAACUGCUUUUGUACAGAACGAGAAGGUUUCUACUAAUACUAGGAGCUCAUGACGGUACUGUAAGAAUAAGCACCGGCUAACUACGUGCCAGCCGCCGCUGUAA
rnacentral:rRNA from 1 species